UCUAAAAUUUCCCUAAUUGGUUUAUGCGGUGUGGGUAUCGAAAUGGCGGGAAAUUUUCUGGGAAGGUACGCUGAGCAUUUAGGCGAUAGUAGCAGGAGCCAGGCCAAAUAGUAGUAGAAGUAACAUCUCCUUCAACAGCGUCAUCAUUGUUCUACUGCGUUCUUCAGUUUCCCUCCCCUCUUCCUGCUAAAGGCUCGUAAAAAAGCUAUGGAGUCUGUCCUUAAGAAAUAUUUUGGGUUUUCAACAUUUCGGCCAUAUCAGAAAGAAAUUGUGGACAAAAUAUUGGACGGGAGGGAUUGCUUGGUGGUCAUGGCCACUGGGAGCGGCAAGUCACUAUGCUAUCAAAUGCCACCAUUGAUCACCAAAAAGACUGCUGUAGUAAUUAGCCCUCUUAUAUCCUUAAUGCAAGAUCAGGUAAUGACAUUAAAGGAGAGGGGCAUUAAAACUGAGCAUCUUUCUAGUGCUCAGAGUGCUUCGAGAGUACAAAGCGCUGCUGAGAGUGGUCAAUAUGACAUUCUCUAUAUGACUCCAGAAAAAGCUUGCUUGCUUCCUUCCAGCUUCUGGUCGAGAAUGCUGAAAACAGGGAUAUGUCUUCUGGCUGUUGAUGAAGCACACUGCAUUUCAGAGUGGGGCCAUAAUUUCCGGAUUGAGUACAAAAAGUUGGAUAAGUUGCGUGAUAUGCUAUUAGAUGUUCCCUUUGUUGGCUUAACUGCAACUGCUACAGAGAACUUUGAUGAACUCACUUUGUCAUGUGAUCCAGAGUCCGUCUUGAUAUCAUCAGCUCCUUGAAGAUGAGGGAUCCUCAUGUUACUGUUGGCUCUUUUGAUCGUAAAAAUCUCUUUUAUGGCGUUAAAUCUUUCAACCAUGGUUCACCUUUUGUUGAUGAGCUUGUGGAAGAAAUAUCUAAAUAUGUAGAGAGUGCAUGCUCAACAAUUGUGUACUGUACAACUGUCAAAGAUGCUGAACAUAUCUUUAAGUCACUUCUCAAGGUUGGAAUUAAAGCUGGGGUCUACCACGGUCAAAUGCCUAAUUGUGCACGCGAGGAGUCUCACAGGUCAUUUAUCAGGGAUGAAUACUAUGUCAUGGUUGCUACUAUUGCUUUUGGCAUGGGUAUAGAUAAGCCAGAUAUCAGGUAUGUGAUACAUUAUGGAUGCCCAAAAAGUUUGGAAUCUUAUUAUCAGGAGAGUGGUCGAUGUGGUCGAGAUGGUGUUGCUUCGGUCUGCUGGCUUUAUUACACAAGAAGUGACUUCAUAAAAGCUGAUUUUUAUUGUAGAGAAGCAAACUCGGUAAUUUUUUUGUUUUUUUAUUCAUUAUUAUUAUGAUUCCAAAGGCACUCAAAUUUUCACUUGAUUUCUUUAUUUGAUGCUUGAGCAGGCAGAUCAAAGAAAAGCUAUAAUGGACUCUUUUGUAGCCGCACAACAUUAUUGCUUCUUGACAACUUGUAGAAGAAAAUUUCUAUUGGACUACUUUGGGCAAAUUUGCACUUUUGACAAAUGUGGUUUGUGUAUUACUUGAAACUUUUCUUUCCUAUUUCUUGCAUUCUAUACAUCAUGUGAAUUGGUUUGUAUUUUUCCUCAUAUGUAAGAUUUUGUUCUUGGCACAAUUAAUGUCCAAAGCAUAAGAAAAUUCAAUCAUGCUUCAUAAUAGUUAGUUCUUUCACUUUCUGAUCUGACUAAGGCCUUUAAAGCAAGAAAGAAAAUCUUCAGUCUCAAGUAACUGGAGGGAAAUUCUUUAUAUUUUUCCCUAGAGGGACUGGGAUUGCAGGGAGCAAAUAAGAGGGGCUUCUUUGUGAUUUGUUUUGUCUUUCAAUCAUAUCCUUCAAAAGAGUCUAAAAAGAGUAUAUGUUCUUCUUAGGAUUGAGAACGAUAUAGUUGUAUGCUUAUUAGACAAAACAAGGAUAAGGAAUUAUUUAAGACCGUAUAAGUAUUUUGUGGAUAAAAAGCUACUCCCAAGUUCUACAUGGGAAAAUAUUUCUAAAAGUUGCUACUGGUGAAGUACCCUUCAGAAACUCUAGGUUGAAUCACAAAUUUAGCGGGAAAUAUCUUUGUGUAGUUACAUAGUUGUUACUUGCAGGAAAUUGUGAUAAUUGCACCAGCUCCAGGAAGGAGACUGACAUGUCUAGAGAAGCAUUUCUUCUGAUGGCCUGCAUUCGUUCCUGUGGGGGUCAGUGGGGACUCAAUAUGCCAGUUGACGUUCUUCGUGGUUCACAGGUAAGUUGUGCAUUAGUCAUCUUCUUGGUAAUUGUCCACUUGGCAGUUGAAGUUUUUAAACGUCCCUUUUGCUUGUGAAAAUCCAGUCACUUCUUGAUGCUGAGAAGAAUUAUUCAUGAAACUAGUCUCCUACAGUACUUGGCAUACUGAAAUUUGUUGGGUGAAUGCAUCUCACGAUCUUCCGAAUCGGCUUUUUCUUUUCUUUUGGUCAAUUAACUUCUAUUAUGUUACUUUUAACCUGGUUCUGUUUUUGACAAUUGCUCGAUGCUCAAAGAAUCCUGUUCCUCAUACUUCUAAUUUGUGGUCACAGUCCAAGAAAAUCCUUGAUGCUCAAUUUGAUAAGCUUCCAUUUCAUGGCCUUGGGAAAGAGAUGACAGUGAACUGGUGGAAGUUUCUAGCGAAUCAGUUGAUUGUAAAAGGUUAUUUGGUUGAGAAGUAUGCGGAUGUGUACAGAAGUAUAAGUGUGGGUCCCAAAGGGCUUCAGUUUCUGAGCUCAUGCAGACCAGAUUAUCAACCACCAUUAUAUGUGGCAGUCACUUCUGAAAUGAUCGGUGAUGUGGAAAACAAAUUUCCAACGGAUGAAGCUAGAGACUUUGGUGGUCUGAUAUCGGCAGGAUUUGAAGGAAUGUCUCAGGCUGAAGCACAACUUUAUAAACUGCUUUUGGAAGAGAGACUGAAACUUGCAAGAGUCAGUGGAACUGCUCCAUAUGCAAUUUGUGGUGAUGAAACACUAAGGAGGAUAGCAUUGACAAGGCCAUCAACCAGAGCAAGACUAGCUAAUAUAGAUGGAGUAAACCAGGUAGUCAGAGCAUAUGGUUCACAGCAUGCUAUCUCCAUUCUGUUGUAUCCGUCUAACCAUUUAGAAUCCUAUGCUCUAAUGCACUCAUUCACAGGAAUUUAGUUCUCUUAUUUAUAGAUCUUAUUUCUUUCCCCCAAAAAAAAAAUAGAUCUUGUUUUACUCGAACUGAGGGUUCUGUGUCUGACCAACUUAGCAGGGACUACAUUUCACUUCUACAAACAUCUGAACCUUGUGGAGUAAUCUUUAGCUACUUUCUGCUAGGUUAAAUUGUUAAUUCAGUUUUUGGAUGUUAUUCAUUUCCUGGUGCUAUAGCUUUCCUUUUAUGUUAGAAGGAAGUGACACUAAUUGAGCCACGUAUGUGUUAUCUGUCUAUAUUUGUUAUUCCACCCAAUAUCCAGCUGGUUGCUGCUUCUGUGAAUGUGUCAGGUUCUAGCUGGGAGGAUUGCUCCCUCCAUUCUAAGAUCGUCCGGCAUAUACUUUGGGUUUCAUUUCCAACCAAAUGUACUUGGUUUUAAUGUUUGCUAGUUUGCUACCUCUCCCUGGUUUGCAACAUCCACCGUUGCUUGUCUUUAAUCCACAAUACUUGGUAGAAUAGAAACAAUGACGUUUAGCAUAAGCUUGUCAUUACUGGAGAUUGCUUAUAUUUCAACGUGUAGAACUGUCUUGGGUUGCACGAAUAUUUGUGUUUGUGACCUCUAUCUAACUUUGAAGCUGCAAUGAUAAUGCAGCACUUAAUGAAAGUUCAUGGUGAUCAUUUUCUUCAAAGGAUCCAACAGCUCUCUCAAGAACUUAACAUUACCUUGGAUGGGCUUCCAAACUCUCAACCUCCCGCUCCAAAGGAGGUUCUUAAAGUACCAAAAGCGGCAAACCUGGCACCAGCGAAGUCUGAAGCCUGGAGAAAGUGGCAAGAAGAUGGCCUUACAAUCCAGAAAAUUGCAAAUUUCCCAGGAAGAUCGGCUCCAAUUAAGGAGCAGACUGUUGCUGAGUAUAUUCUUGAAGCUGCAAGAGAGGGAUGUGUAAUUGACUGGCUUAGAUUCUCUCGAGAGAUUGGGUUGACACAAGAGGUGUACAAGAGCAUUCAGCAAGCUGUCCUAAAAGUUGGAAAAGAGAAGUUAAAGCCCAUAAAAAAUGAAUUAGCAGAAGAGGUAACUUAUUCCCAAAUCAAGACAUGCUUGACAAUGCAAGAAUUAGGACUUGGCAUGAGCGAAAUUGAAUCCAUUAAUCAGCAUGACUGCAAGGAGGAUGAACAUUUGAAUGGGAAACCAUUAUUGUCAGAAAGAACUAACCUCUCGCAUCAAAAGGAAGAACAAUUUGAGAAUUUUCAAUUUGUUAAUGGAGUCCGUGACUCGGCUGGGUUAAGGAAUGAAGAUGCAAUUUCUGACAGCUCUAUACAGAGCAGAAGCAUGGAAGAAUCUGUAGAUUCUUCAAAUGAUCCACCUCUUACAAGGAAACGCCAAAAGAUUGAUGCCUUGGACGUACCGGCUGAAGUUAUGGUAGAAGCAACCGAGACUUCAAUUAUACGCUGGCUUGGGAAGUUUGAUCAUGGGGUACCACUUUCUGAUAUCUUGGGGCACUUCAAUGGAUCAACGGAGUCAUCUGUGAUUGAUCUGCUAAACAGCCUAGAAGGUGAAUUUUUGAUAUUUAAAAAGAAUGAUCUGUAUAUGCUCAUGUAGAUUGUAGAGUAACACAUAUUUAUAGUUGGUGACAUAUUGGAUAGCAAAUCUCUGCGUCUUCAUCUUUCCCAUCAUUCAUAUAUCCAAAGUUCUUGGGGAAAUAGGGAGGUAAGGAUGCAAGAUACAAAAACUGUACAUCUUUUUUGGCGGAGUGAUACAAUUUAUGUAACGAUGAAUACGACAUGUGCAAUUUCGUAUAUGUGCAUGUUGCUUUGGGGCGUUUCGCUUGUUAGUGAGGAUUCGUCUUGAAGAAUGAAAUUAUUUCGAGGCAGAAGUUGACCA